AAGUCCUCCAAAUUUUUUCUUCUUUUUCAGGUUAUUUUUACUAUUCUUAAUCUUUCGUGUUUUCAUAUACAUAUAAAAUCAGCUUGUUAAUUUCUACUACAAGCCUCAUGGAAUUUUGAUUGGGAUUGCACUGAAUUUGUAGAUCAAUUAGGGAAGAACGGAUACUUUAGCAAUAUUAAUUUUUCCCAUCCCUAAAUGUGUUAUAUGGUUUAAGUUUCUUAUUUAAUAACUUUUUGCAGUACGUAGUAGUUUUCAGAAUACAAGUCCUACCUAUCUUUUCUUAUAUUUAUUUUUGAAUAUUUUAUGUUAUUCCUUCAAUAGUAAAUGAAUUGCUUUUAAAUUUCAUUUUUUAAUAAUUUGCUGGUAUAAUUUUGAAAUAUAAUUAAACUUUGUGUAUUGACCUUAAUUCCUGUGACUUUGCUAAAUUCACUUUUCAGUUCUAGUAGUUUUCGGGGUAGAUUCCUUAGAAUGUUUUAUAUAUACAGUCAUGUCAACUGCAAAAAAGACUGUUUUGCUUCUUUCUUUUAAAUUUUUAUACCUUUAUUUCUUGCUUACAUUGUUGUGCUAGAAAGGGCUUCCACUAUUCUGCUGAAUAGACAUGGAGACAGUGGGUACCUUGUUCCUGAACUAAGAAGCAUUCAAUAUUUCACCAAUAAGUAUGCCAUUAACUCUUCUUUCUUCAUAUAUUCCCAUUAUCAGGUUGAUGAAAUUCCUUUCUUUUCCUAGUGUUUUGAGAGGUUUUUUUUAUGAAUGGUGUGACAUUUUUUGACAUUUUCAAAAAUGUUUUUGCAUCAAUUGAGAUUUUAUUUUCUCUUUGAUUCUGUUAAUGUAAUGAAUUAGAACUAUUGAUUUCAUAACGUAAAACCAACCUUUAAUCCUGGCAUAAGCUCCAUUUAUUAAUAACAUUUAUCCUUUUCAUAUAAUGCUGAAUUUGAUUUGUUAAUAUUUUCUUGAGGACUUUGUAUAUUUAUUCAUGUAGGAUAUUAGUCUAUAAUUUUCUUUUCUUGUAAUGUCUUUGUCAGGUUGUAAUAACAGGGUUAUGCUGGCCUCAUUAAACUACUUGAAAAGCAUUUCCUUCUAUUUUCUCAAAGAGUUUGUAUAACACUGGUAUUAGUUUUGUGCUUAAACCUUUCAUAGAAUUUGUGAGUAAAGCCGUCUGGGCCGGGGUUUUCUUUGUUGAAAGGUUUUUAAUUAUGAAUUUAAUUUUGAAAAUGGAUAUAAAGCUCUUUGAAUUUUUCUAUUUCUUCCUGUGCUAAUUUUGGGAAGAUGUGCUUUUCAGGGAAUUUGUCCACUUGCUCUAAGUUGUUGAAAUUAUAGGCAUAAAGUCAUUAAUGUUUUUGUCUUCUUGGAGAAUUGAAUCCCUUUUCAUCUUGUAAUAAGCCUAUCACUGGUAAUAUUUUUUGUCUGAAGCCUACCUUGAUAUUAAUAAAGCAACUUCAGCUUUCUUUUGAGUAGUGUCUGCAUGGAAUAUCUUUUUUCAUUCUUUUACUUUUAAUCUAGUUAUCUCUUUAUAUCUAAAGUGGUAUUCUUGUAGGCAGCAUAUAGUGGGCCUUGCUUUUUAUCUAAUCUAACAAUCUAUCUUUGAAUUAGUGUGGCUUACAUUUAAUGUGAUUAUUGAUAUGGUUGAAUUAAAAUCUACCAUCUAACCAGCUCUUUUCUGUUUCUUCCCUUUGUCCUUUGUUUCUUUUUUCCUUUCUUUUUGCUUCCUUUUUGAUUAAUUGAGCAUUUUCAUGAUUCAAUGUUAUUUCCACUAUUGAAUUAUCAUGCACACCUCUUUUGAAAAAAAUUUAGUACUUUUGGGGUUUACCAUGUACCUGUUAUUUAAUUGAAGUCCACUUUCACAUAAUAUCCUGUCAUGUCUAGUACAAAGAAAAUAUAUCCCCAAUUUCUCCCUCUCAUUCUUCUUCUAUUCUUGCCACAUACUGACUCCUACAUAUGCUGUAAAUACACAAUACUACUAUUUUUGCUUUAGGUAGUUAUCUUUCAGAGCAAUUAAAAAUAAUAAAAAGUAAAUUUUGAACUUCGCUUACCUUUAGUUAUUCCAUUUACAGUGCUCUUAAUUUUUUUGUGUAGAUUCAAGCUUCUGUCUGCUAUUAUAUUCCUUCUGUCUGAGGAACUUUCUUCAAUAUUACUUAUAGCAUGGGUCUACUGGCAAUGAAUUCGCUCAGGUUUGGUUUUUGGUUUUGGUUCAGGAAAGUCUUUAUUUCUUGUUCCUUUUUGAAAGACAUUUUUGCUGGGUAUAGGAUUCUGACUUGACAGGUUUUUGUUGUUGUUCAGCUGCAGAGACCUCAUUCCUUAUCUUCUGUCUUGUGUAGUUUCUGGAGAAGUCUACUGUAACUCUUAUCUUUAAUUUUUAUUCCUCUGUAUGGUAUGUGUCUUUUUUCACUGGCUGCCUUCAUAAUUUCCUUUGCCUUUGGUUUUCAGCAGCUUGUAUAUAAUAUGCCUAUGGUGUGGGAGUACUUUUGGUAGGGUAGCACUUAUCCUGCUUGGUGUUCUUUGAAUGUCUUGGAACUGUUGUUUCAUAUCUGUCAUUCAUUUUGGAAUAUUCUCGUGUAUUAUUUCUCCUUAUUUUUUCUUCCUGGGAUGCCAAUUACACACAGGUUAGACCUUUUGUUAUUAUAUCGUAUCUCUUGGAUGCUCUGUUGUGUUUUUCCACCCACUCUCUAUCCUUCCCCACUGUUCUGCAAUCCAUGCCAGAAUUGUUAUAAAUCCAGUUUCCACAGAUGUGAGGGUCUGACUGAAGAAACUUCAUUGCUGUUCUCCUCUUACUCUCCAAAUCCUUGUGGGUUUAUCCCUUUAAAAGAUUGUUUUCUGCCAUUUUAGUGGUCUUGGGAAGGAGUGAAAGGAGAUGCACAUAGUCAAUCUACCAUCUUUACCUGGAAGUCAAGUGUGAGUUUCGUUAUUUAAAUUAAGAUGAAGAUAAACUGAGGCACAGAAGAUUAAGUAAUUUUUCCAAAGAUUCAGAAAUAGAAAAUGACAGAACUUGGCUCCUUAACCACUAUAUGUAUUCUGACUACCUCCAACAAAUUGGAAGAUGGUGGCUUUUAGCCUCAUGAGGAAACAGAAGCCAGAACCCACCAGCUAAGCUAUUCCAAAAUCUCUGACCCUCACAAAUAAUGUGAGAUAAUAAAUAUUUAUGGUUGUAUUAAGCCACUAAGUGUUGGGAUAAUUCAUUGCACAUCAGUAUAUAACUAAAUAUAUAAACUUAUCCAUGUGGCAAGCUGGAAAGUUUGGUGGAUUACAUUUUGGAAGCAUCCCUCAACCAAUGACAUGCAGUAGUUUGUAUAAAUACCACAGCUUCCUCAUGCCUUGUAGAUCACUGAACUCUCAGAGUUUCCCCAGGGGAAACUCCAUUUGCCUGGGAUAGUAACUGGAUUGAUAACACCCUUUAUUGACUACUUUCCCUCCCCUAACUUCUUCAUGUCCCUACUGGUGUUUCCUUCACCUCCCAUAUUAAUUACUUGUUCUUAAAUCCUUGUCUCAAUACCUCCUUUUUUGGGGGAGGAAGGAUGCAAACUAGGUCAAUUCCACAUAACCAGUUGCCAGAUCCUGUGUAUUUUUAAUUUGAAAUUAUAUUUCCAUGGUUGCAGUUCAAUAGCGCCAACCUGACCUAAUGCAAAAAAAAAAGCUAAAAGGAACCCUCCCACUUCACACAUAUAUGAAUGUUGGUGAAAAUAUACCCCCUCCUCAAUUUUUAAUACAAUUUAAAACUCAAAACUAGGGGAAAAAAAUCCUCAAGUGCCAAACACAAAGAGAAUACUCAAAGUUACAGUGAUAAGAGGGAGGUGAAAUAAAAAUGCUCACAUGUGAAUCAGGAGGAGAGAGAGACCUUAGCAGCUGAAGCUUUGAGGCUCUGUGAGCAGGAUUAUGUAGGUCUGAGCUCCAUGAGACCAUAAUCAGGAACCAGGCUACCUGCAUAAAGCCAGGGGUCCUGAAGAGAUUAUCUAGUAUCCUCUGAAUCUGGAACUAGAGAAAACUUCUGCUAGCCUAGGGGAAUUGCAGGAAAGUGUCUAAUUUUCUUGGGGCUGUGAAAGUAAUAGGAAUCACCAAAAAAAAAAAAAAAAAAAGGGAAAUUUGUUCCACAAGUUGUAUGAGGCCUGAAUUCUGAUUACUCAUGUACUAUGGGGACCCCAAACUAAGAAAUUAUCCUAAAAUCUUGUCCAGAAUUGGUAAGGGUAAAAAUGCUCCAAAAGGAUGUUUUAGGGCACAUGAAAAUUCUGUGGCCUCCCCUUUCAAUCUCAUCUCUUUAAGGAAGAGUUUAUGGAAAGAAAAAAAGAGAAAUGAAAAAAAAGAAAUCAUAGAAGAAAGCCAACCACAAUGCAAUGGAGCCAGCAGAUGAACAAAUGGGAGAACUUGUACUUCAAGAACUGGAAAUAAUAGAACAACAAUCUAAAAAAGACUUUAAAAAUUUGUAAGACCUACUGAACAAUUCAUCACUUCACCUUCCCCUAUAUGGGGAAGCACAUGUUGAGAUGGAGCCUCUGCCAGCCUGGGUCCCUGAAUGACCAUGUUGAGGAGAGCUCUGCUGCAACCCAAGUGGACACAUAAAAUGAAUGAGAAACAACCUUUUGAUGUGUUAAACUCCCUGAGAUUUUGGAGUUUUUUUGUUCCUGCAGCAAAACCUAGCCCAUCCUGAUUAAUAUAAUGCAUUAAAAGUCGUAGUUUCCCACCAUCCCCCCCCAAAAAAAUCUACCUAAAGCCAUACUUUAGAAUUCAUUUGCUCUUAUUUAAAGCACUUCUUUCCAACUUGUUUAUGUGGUUUCCCAUCUCACAGGAUGUUUAGAGCAAAAUAUUAGAGGUGAUGUCACCAGAGGUAGGCACUCACCCCAACGAGAAGGGAAAACUGUGAUAAGAAGAUAAGGAACUCAAAAAGCAUUAUGAUCUGGGGCCAUUUUGGAUAGGUGGAAUUAAUGAUGCUUACUAAAAAGCCUUUGAAGCCAUCUCUGUAUCGCAGCAACGCUUUUUCAGUUUAUUACAGUUUCAUUACAUUUUUAUCUUGCUUAUUCGUUUUCUUUAUUUUAUCGUACAUUUAGUUUUUACUACACUUUUUUUUUUUUAAUGCUUACUAUCUCCCAAGCAUCAUGCUGAACACUUUGAAUGUGUAGCAGGUCACUUAACACUCUCAGCCUCUCUCAGAAGCGGCAGGUUUUUUCCCAUCUCUGUGGCAGCACUCAGAGAGAUUUGUAAGUGCCCGAGGUUUCUUGGUCACUAUGGCAGCAUCAGUUUCACGUGAACCCAGCCUGUCUGAUUUCAGAGUCCUUUCACCAUCGUGCCUCUCAGGCAUUAGCAUACCACCGUAGGAUGACCCUCAACAAAGGCUAAAUUAUGUUUCAGGAAAGUCUGUUUUAAAAGGCUGGGAGACAUGUGUAACAUUUUGGACAUUUUUCUAUAAAAAAAAAAAAGAUUCAACUUUAACAAGUGCUGGUGCUUCAAAGGCUAGAAAGCUUGGGUUAUCAGGAAACGCACAUGUGGGAAGCAGCUCUCUCUCUAACAAUGUGAGAUAAAUGAGACAGUCUUGAAUUUCAAUGAUCUUAUAAAUGCAACAGGAAUGAUAAAUACAAAUCUAUUAAAGCGCUUUCAUUUAGAACAAGGAAUCUGUAUUCUUUGCCCAUAGAACUUUUUUUCUUUACUGCAACUUCCAAACAGAAAAAGUUGCUGGCCACGGAUGAGUCACUUCCUUGGUUCUUUACAAUGUGAAGAGAAAGGACCCGUGGUUGGGGGUGGGGAAGUUGGGGAGAAGGUGAAUUUCUCUGCUGCUGUCCAAAUGGUUGCCAGAGAGGCCCCAGUUUGCCAUUUCAUCUCUGUAGUUGUUUCCUUAUGCGAAGGAUGGCGGCUGACACCCAGGGGUCUUCGCCAUAAAUGAAAAGAGCAGAGGACAACCAAACUAGAAGCCCAGAGAAGUUUCCUGCAUUAAGAGACAUUUGGCAGACAGCGUUUCUUAUAGGAUAACAGCAUCUCACUUCUCACUGCCAGAAGGACAUCUCUGGGGCUCAACUAACCUGCUCUGGAAACCUACAUUGUCCCUACUUACCACAAACAAGGUUUCACUCUCAGUGGAAAUUUGAUUUUUGUUUGUAUUUUUGUAUGACCGUUCAACAGGUAAGCAACAUAUUUGUCGUAGAACCGUAGCACUAUUGUUUAAACAUCACAGUGACAAUUUCAGUUCUCUGGAGGAGCUAUUAAGCACGUAGGGUCCCUUCCCUGAUCUGUGUUUUUGUCCCCCGUUACUGGGGGUGCAGCGUAUUCACAUACCUUCAGAGGGGUUCAGAGAUGCCAGAAGGGGGGUGAUUGCAAAUGCUUACUAUCAGGCUACUUCUGACAAUUCCUAAUGUAAUCCAUACACUACACAUACAUUCUAGUUAUACAAUUUAUGAGGUAUAACAAGGGGAGAGAAGUGAAGCUGGGAUAUAAUUGUGACUGAUGUGAAACAGACAUGUAGAAUGAAUGGCCUUACAACAUUUUCUUUGAAGUUUGUUAAAAGCAGUAAAGUGAUAUUCACUAUAAGUGAAACCUGCUGUUAUAGAUAUCCACUGGCUUGGGGAACAUUUUCUUUUGACUUUAUUUCUUGAAUUUUAAUUUGCCACUUGAAGUUUUCGAAAUUUUUUUUCUUUUGACGUGCAAUGGAAGAGAAAGGGAAUAAAAAUUGUGGAGCACCUACUACGUGCUUAUCCCAUAGCAGGCACUUGACAUCAGGGCUGACUCACAAGCCACAGUAGGGCACAGUGCCUAGGGGCCACAGGAAUGUUUUGGUUUCUUUUAAAGUCAGAAGAAAACAAUGAUAUAAUAAUAAUCCAUUAUCAAUUCAUAUAAUAAAGUUAAAAUUUAUUAUAAUAAUAAUGAAUAUAACAAUGAAUCGCACCUGGAUUAUAUUUGUCUUUUAAUCCUUUCUUUAUGGAAGAAGGGGCCCCCAAAGGCAAUGUGGCAAGGGCCCACGGAUUCCAUAAUGUGGUGGCCCUGCUUGGUAGAAAUUAUCACGUUUAAUUCUCCUGAGUAAAUCUGAAAGACUGGAAAGUGACAUUUCAGAGACUUAAGAAGUUUUCCUAAGGUCCUAAAGCUAGCAAGUGGUAGAGGCAGGUCUUAAGACUAUUGUCUAAUUCUUUCCACUGAAGAAGAGCUUAAUGUAUAGGUAAUUCUACAUUGGAACACCUGGCAUUAGGAACGAAAAAUGUCACAUAUAUUUGGUACCAAAGAAAUGAAUGGAAAAUCAGUUCUGAGGUUGGCAUGUAUUUUUCCAUACAAUAUAGGAAGAUGUCUAAAAAUAUAUGUAACCCAGAUGUCCCCAAGUUUACCAGCUUCAAGGUCAAUACUUCUUUUCAAUGCCCAAAUUAUAGUUUAUGCACCCACAGGAAAUCCGGCCUUUGUCCUAUCACUAUCAUCUUCCCAUCUUUCUCUUGGGACCUGUGAAGACCACUUAUGUGUUCCUCUAACCAGUCCUGGUUAAUACUCAACGUCUCAGCAGACUGCUUCUCACCGCAUUUGGGGCAUCAUUUUUGGGGCAGGUGGUCACAGCUCUCUCUUCACUCAUUGGUGCGUGCCCCUCUCUUUAUUCCCCAGAGCACAACUAGGAGAGAGCUGGGACUUCCAACCAGUUUUUACUGAAGCCUUGGGGGCAUUGGUAAUACAACAUGAAGGGGAAUGCUCGACGAAUACCUAGGUCGACCAAGCAUCCUAAUUUGCCCAGAACUAAAGGAGUUCUCGGGAAAUUUUAGUUUGAAAACUGUGUCAGUCCUGGGCAAACCUGGACAAGUUGUUCACCCUACAGAUGUCUCAUCUUGAACCCACAGCCCUGACUUACCUCACUUAGGGCUUCAUCUUGGCUACUGGUCUAUCUCCACUUGGCUAAGCUGGUUCUUCCCAUCCCUGUCACCUCCAAGAAUGCUCUUUCCUUAGAUCCCAGACCCAACUUUUCUUGGCCUCAGAGAGAGGAAGACCUCUUUCCUCUAGGUUAAGACCAGCCUCCUUCCCUGCCCAGCCUCAUUACUAACAGGAAGCCCUCUUACCUUGCUGGGAAAGACCUGUGCUCCUCCAUUAGCAUGUCAUUAAAUCCUCAUGGCCUGGACAAGACAAACCCAGAAGUCCACAAGACUGUUCCCAGACUCAAAGUCAUUUGGUCUUAAAUGACAUCAUGUAUGGGACCCCAAGAGUCUAAUAUGGGUUGUUCUGUAUCAAACCCAUGCAGUUUCUUGUCACAAUCUCUGGGCCUGAUAGAGGAAUGGGAGGUUGGGUCAUCCCCAUAAUUUGGAAUCUCUUGUGAGAAAUGUUUAGUUUAGAACACAGACACAUCUCUGGCACAUCAUGAGAAAAGAGGUUUGUAACCCCUAAGCAGCACAGUUCUGUUCAAACACACCACAGAUGUUACCAAGAAGAGCACUCAGCCCCUUGAGGUGAAGUGUCUGAAUUUUGGUUACUCUGUGAAUUCAGGACUUUAGACAAGAACAAUGGGUAGGUAUAUGUCCUAUAAACGCUGUUGACUAAAACACCUUUAAAUUGGACCUCCCUGAAAAAAAGGAAAGUUCUUUUCCAACACCAAUUCCAAAUCCUACCCUAGAGUUCAGCAACAUUUGUGACUCUCAAUGAUGGGUUUCCAACUUUGAAAAUUUAAAACUUAGGUCUACGAAGAACCCCAUUACAGGUAAGAUCAGAGAGUACGUAGAUACUACAAAAUUUGUAACAAUGCAAUUAAGUGUCACAUGAGUUGACAAUAUUUAUCACAAAGCUAAGAGGCCAUCUUGGGCAAACUGACCAAAAAUUUAAUAUUUCUGAGGAGGGAAGAAAAAAUGAAAUGAGACAAAGGUAAGAAAGCUGAUUUCAGAAGACUUUACACUGAGGUGGUAAGACUGUAGGAGGGCUUUCGCCAGACUCUGUAGCAUUAACUUUACCAUACUUACAUUUAAAAAAUCAUCAUUGUACCUUUUUCUAUACCCUGUCAUUAUUACAUCACCUGUUUCAGUUUUUUGACCAAUGAUUAUAUGUGUGUAUGUUAAACUUGAAAUUAAAAAUCAAAUCAUCUG